AUUGAACGCUGGCGGCAGGCCUAACACAUGCAAGUCGAACGGUAGCAGAACUAGCUUGCUAGUUGCUGACGAGUGGCGAACGGGUGAGUAACGCGUGGGAAUCUACCUGGUAGUGGGGGAUAACAGUCGGAAACGACUGCUAAUACCGCAUACGUCCUAAGGGAGAAAGCGGGGGAUCUUCGGACCUCGUGCUAUCAGAUGAGCCUGCGUCGGAUUAGCUAGUUGGUGGGGUAAGGGCCUACCAAGGCGACGAUCCGUAGCUGGUCUGAGAGGAUGAUCAGCCACACUGGAACUGAGACACGGUCCAGACUCCUACGGGAGGCAGCAGUGGGGAAUAUUGGACAAUGGGCGCAAGCCUGAUCCAGCCAUGCCGCGUGUGUGAAGAAGGCCCUAGGGUUGUAAAGCACUUUCAGCAGGGAGGAAAGGAUGUACGUUAAUACCGUGCAUCUGUGACGUUACCUGCAGAAGAAGCACCGGCUAACUCCGUGCCAGCCGCCGCAGUAA
rnacentral:rRNA from 1 species